UAUCAUCUUCAGGAAGUGAUGGUGUGAAGAUCAGAAGCUCCAGAGCAGCUGGUGUGUGUUUGGUGCUGCUGUGUGUUCUUCUGCUGACCGCAGUCAUAGUGCUGUGUGUCCUCAUCUAUACAAAGAGUACAAACUACACACAAGAGAGACAGCAGCUGCUAACUAAGAUCACCAACCUCUCAGAAGAGAGAGACCAGUUAAAAUCAGAAAAAAAUGAACUUCAGAAACGUUUAGCAGAUGGAUGGAAGUGCCAUCAAUCCAGUCUUUACUUCAUUUCCUCUGAGACGAAGAACUGGACUGAGAGCAGAAGAUACUGUAGAGAGAGAGCAGCAGAUCUGAUCAUCAUCAACAACACAGAGGAACAAGAGUUUGUGAAGAUCAUUUCUGGUGGUUCUGAACUUUUCUGGAUUGGUCUGACUGAUAUUGAAGUGGAGGGCAGAUGGAAAUGGGUUGAUGGCAGCAACAUCGCCUCUGGGUGAGAAAUCACUGAACUGAACUGAUUAUUA